rnacentral:rRNA from 1 species
CCAGACUCCUACGGGAGGCAGCAGUGAGGAAUAUUGGUCAAUGGCCGAGAGGCUGAACCAGCCAAGUCGCGUGAGGGAAGACGGCCCUACGGGUUGUAAACCUCUUUUGUCGGGGAGCAAAGCGAGUCACGUGUGACUCAUUGAGAGUACCCGAAGAAAAAGCAUCGGCUAACUCCGUGCCAGCAGCCGCGGUAAUACGGAGGAUGCGAGCGUUAUCCGGAUUUAUUGGGUUUAAAGGGUGCGCAGGCGGAGGUGCAAGUCAGCGGUCAAAUUGCGGGGCUCAACCCGGGCCGGCCGUUGAAACUGGGGAUCUUGAGUGGGCGAGAAGUAUGCGGAAUGCGUGGUGUAGCGGCGAAAUGCAUAGAUAUCACGCAGAACUCCGAUUGCGAAGGCAGCAUACCGGCGCCCAACUGACGCUGAAGCACGAAAGCGUGGGUAUCGAACAGGAUUAGAUACCCGAGUAUGG